UACGAAGGGGGCUAGCGUUGCUCGGAAUCACUGGGCGUAAAGCGCACGUAGGCGGAUUGUUAAGUCAGGGGUGAAAUCCUGGAGCUCAACUCCAGAACUGCCUUUGAUACUGGCGAUCUUGAGUCCGGGAGAGGUGAGUGGAACUGCGAGUGUAGAGGUGAAAUUCGUAGAUAUUCGCAAGAACACCAGUGGCGAAGGCGGCUCACUGGCUCAUAUCUGACGCUCAGGCGCGACAGCGUGGGGAUCAAACAGG
rnacentral:rRNA from 1 species